GACGAACGCUGGCGGCGUGCUUAAUACAUGCAAGUCGAACGGUGAUCUUGGGAGCUUGCUCUUGGGUGAUCAGUGGCGAACGGGUGAGUAACACGUGAGUAACCUGCCCCUGACUCUGGAAUAACUUCGGGAAACCGAAGCUAAUACCGGAUACGACACAGAGCUGCAUGGCUACUGUGUGGAAAGUUUUUCGGUUGGGGAUGGACUCGCGGCCUAUCAGCUUGUUGGUGAGGUAAUGGCUCACCAAGGCGACGACGGGUAGCCGGCCUGAGAGGGCGAUCGGCCACACUGGGACUGAGACACGGCCCAGACUCCUACGGGAGGCAGCAGUGGGGAAUAUUGCACAAUGGGCGAAAGCCUGAUGCAGCGACGCCGCGUGAGGGAUGAAGGCCUUCGGGUUGUAAACCUCUUUCAGUAGGGAAGAAGCGCAAGUGACGGUACCUACAGAAGAAGCACCGGCUAACUACGUGCCAGCAGCCGCCGUAAAAC
rnacentral:rRNA from 1 species